rnacentral:rRNA from 1 species
GACGAACGCUGGCGGCGUGCUUAACACAUGCAAGUCGAGCGGUAAGGCCCUUUCGGGGGUACACGAGCGGCGAACGGGUGAGUAACACGUGGGUGACCUGCCCUUAGCUCUGGGAUAAGCCUGGGAAACUGGGUCUAAUACCGGAUAUGACCUCAUGACUCAUGUUGUGGGGUGGAAAGCCUUGUGCGGCUAGGGAUGGGCCCGCGGCCUAUCAGCUUGUUGGUGGGGUAAUUGCCUACCAAGGCGACGACGGGUAGCCGGCCUGAGAGGGCGACCGGCCACACUGGGACUGAGACACGGCCCAGACUCCUACGGGAGGCAGCAGUGGGGAAUCUUGCGCAAUGGGCGAAAGCCUGACGCAGCGACGCCGCGUGAGGAUGAC